ACGGAGGAUCCAAGCGUUAUCCGGAAUCAUUGGGUUUAAAGGGUCCGUAGGCGGUCUUAUAAGUCAGUGGUGAAAGCCCAUCGCUCAACGAUGGAACUGCCAUUGAUACUGUAAGACUUGAAUUUUUGUGAAGUAACUAGAAUAUGUAGUGUAGCGGUGAAAUGCUUAGAUAUUACAUGGAAUACCAAUUGCGAAGGCAGGUUACUAACAAACGAUUGACGCUGAUGGUCGAAAGCGUGGGGAGCGAACAG
rnacentral:rRNA from 1 species